AAUCUGGACACUCAUAGGGUUUCUCUCCUGUGUGAGUCCUCAGGUGUAUCAUCAGGUUGACAUUCUGAAUGAAAGUUUUCCCACAAUCUGGACAUUGAUAGGGUUUCUCUCCUG